rnacentral:rRNA from 1 species
AGUUUGAUCCUGGCUCAGGAUGAACGCUGGCGGCGUGCCUAACACAUGCAAGUCGAACGAAGCAAGAGAGCUUGCUCUCUUGACUUAGUGGCGGACGGGUGAGUAACGCGUGAGUAACCUGCCCUUCAGAGGGGGACAACAGUUGGAAACGACUGCUAAUACCGCAUAAGACCACGCUACCGCAUGGUAGAGGGGUCAAAGGAGCAAUCCGCUGAAGGAUGGACUCGCGUCCGAUUAGAUAGUUGGUGAGGUAACGGCCCACCAAGUCGACGAUCGGUAGCCGGACUGAGAGGUUGAACGGCCACAUUGGGACUGAGACACGGCCCAGACUCCUACGGGAGGCAGCAGUGAGGGAUAUUGCACAAUGGGCGCAAGCCUGAUGCAGCAACGCCGCGUGAAGGAUGAAGGUUUUCGGAUUGUAAACUUCUUUUCUCAUUGACGAAAUCAUGACGGUAGAUGAGGAAUAAGCCACGACUAACUACGUGCC